ACGGAGGAUGCGAGCGUUAUUCGGAAUUACUGGGCUUAAAGGGUGCGUAGGCGGAAUAAUAAGUCAGAGGUGAAAUUCUGCGGCUUAACUGUGGAAGUGCAGUUGAAACUGUUAGACUUGAGUAUGGGCAGGGAAAGUGGAAUUCGCGGUGUAGAGGUGAAAUUCGUAGAUAUCGGGCGGAAUACCGGUGGCGAAGGCGGCUUUCUGGCUGAAUACUGACGCUGAGGCGCGAAAGCGUGGGGAGCAAACAG
rnacentral:rRNA from 1 species